rnacentral:lncRNA from 1 species
CUCCAACAGAGGACAUCCAAACACAACACAAAAAACAUCAGAGAGACCCACACAGCCAUAUGAUGGAGGGCGGAGAGGCUGGAGCCCCCCCUUGGAGGAGGCGGAACAAGCUUGGGGCUGACAGAACAGAAAUCUGCAUAUUUCCAACCACCCCAGGAAGUUCUGCUACUGAUAGGCGAUCCACAAUCCACCAGAGACUAAGAACUUAAAGCGCUUCUGAUAAGGGGUCUAUCCACAAGGGAAAAUUGGUGAGAAGAAAAAUCAGAAACUCAGGCUUAAGUUCCAGAUCGGUAAAAAUUUCCACUCUUUUUUUGUUGGCUGGGCAAGUUCACAUCCUAGCGGCUAAAGACUUGCAUGAUGUGGGCCUUACCUACCCCAUUUGCUUCAUCUCAUCCUCUCAUCCUGCAGGCUCCAACCAAACUGGACUUUCAGUAUUUCUCAAACAGAGGUCAGUAAGGACAAGAAUAUCCCGUUUGUAAGGACUGAUGGAAUUGGCCUUUGCUGAUGACCAGGUGGAUAACCAAUCAAUGGAGCACAAGUCUAGCCUUUUGCCUGAUGACCUAAUCUCCCGCCAAUCUGUGAAGUACAAACCCAGCCUUACCUCAUUUGGCACCAAUGAACUCUUCUUUAAUACAACUCACCUCGUCCUCCCUUUUUCCCACAAAAGCUUUAAGCCUCUCUCCUGUAAUCAGGACACUAUUUGAGUUUCUACCAGAUUCUGUGCUCCCUGAAUUGCAAUUCUUUGAUCCCAAAUAAACACUUUGCC